AUUGAACGCUGGCGGCAGGCCUAACACAUGCAAGUCGAGCGGAGCGGCGGACGGGUGAGUAAUGCCUCGGAAUAUGCCUGGUAGCUGGCGAUAACGACCGGAAACGGGCGCUAAUACCGCAUACUAUUAGAUGAGCCUAGUUCGGAUUAGCUAGUUGGUGGGGUAAAGGCCUACCAAGGCGACGAUCCGUAACUGGUCUGAUAGGAUGAUCAGUCACACUGGAACUGUACCACGGUCCAGACUUCUACGGGAGGCAGCAGUGGGGAAUUUUGGACAAUGGGCGAAAGCCUGAUCCAGCCAAGCCGCGUGUGUGAUGAAGGUCUUCGGAUUGUAAAGCACUUUAGGUAGGAAAGCGUUACCAGCAGAAUAAGCACCGGCUAACUUCGUGCCAGCAGCCGCGGUAAUAC
rnacentral:rRNA from 1 species